rnacentral:rRNA from 1 species
GGCGAACGCUGGCGGCGUGCCUAACACAUGCAAGUCGAACGAGACCUUCGGGUCUAGUGGCGCACGGGUGCGUAACGCGUGGGAACCUGCCCUUAGGUUCGGAAUAACUCCCCGACAGGGGUGCUAAUACCGGAUAAUGUCUUCGGACCAAAGAUUUCUCGCCUUUGGAUGGGCCCGCGUUGGAUUAGCUAGUUGGUAGGGUAAAAGCCUACCAAGGCGACGAUCCAUAGCUGGUCUGAGAGGAUGAUCAGCCACACUGGGACUGAGACACGGCCCAGACUCCUACGGGAGGCAGCAGUGGGGAAUAUUGGACAAUGGGCGAAAGCCUGAUCCAGCAAUGCCGCGUGAGGGAUGAAGGCCUUAGGGUUGUAAAGCUCUUGUACCCGGGAUGAUAAUGACAGUACCGGGAGAAUAAGCUCCGGCUAACUCCGUG